UGGGGAAUCUUCCGCAAUGGACGAAAGUCUGACGGAGCAACGCCGCGUGAGUGAAGAAGGUUUUCGGAUCGUAAAACUCUGUCUUUUGGGGCGAACGUGAGUAUGGUGAACAAUCAUAGUCAGUGACGGUACCAAAGGAGGAAGCCACGGCUAACUACGUGCCAGCAGCCGCGGUAAUACGUAGGUGGCAAGCGUUGUCCGGAAUUAUUGGGCGUAAAGAGCGCGUAGGCGGGAUAGUCAGUCUGUUGUAAAAGUGCGGGGCUCAACCCCGUGAUCGCAAUGGAAAGCAGCUAUUCUUGAGUGCAGGAGAGGAAAGUGGAAUUCCCAAGUGUAGCGGUGAAAUGCGUAGAUAUUGGGAGGAACACCAGUGGCGAAGGCGACUUUCUGGACUGUGUCUGGACGCUGAGGCGCGAAAAGCCACGGGGAGCGAACGGGAUUAAGAUACCCCGGUAGUCCUGGCCGUGAAACGAUGGGUACUAGGUGUGGGAGGUAUCGACCCCUUCCGUGCCGGAGUU
rnacentral:rRNA from 1 species